UGGCGAGUGGCGAACGGGUGAGUAAUACAUCGGAACGUGUCCUGUAGUGGGGGAUAGCCCGGCGAAAGCCGGAUUAAUACCGCAUACGAUCUAUGGAUGAAAGCGGGGGAUCUUCGGACCUCGCGCUAUAGGGGCGGCCGAUGGCGGAUUAGCUAGUUGGUGGGGUAAAGGCCUACCAAGGCGACGAUCCGUAGCUGGUCUGAGAGGACGACCAGCCACACUGGGACUGAGACACGGCCCAG
rnacentral:rRNA from 1 species